UGGCUCUAGCAUCGAUGAAGAACGCAGCGAAACGCGAUAGCUAGUGUGAAUCGCAGAAUUCAGUGAAUCAUCGAGUCUUUGAACGCACAUUGCGCCUACUGGUAUCCCAGCAGGCAUGCCCGUUCGAGCGUCAUUUCAAUCCUCAGGCCCUGCCUGGUAUUGGAGUUCUACUGUACUGGUAGGCUCCCAAGUCUAGUAGCAUGGUUGUUAUUCCACCAAGUGCAGUAAAUUACCAUCACUUUGGUGCUGUGGCUCUUCAUUGCUAUAAACUCCUUACUCAGUUGACCUCGGAUCGGGUAGGGUUACCCGCUGA
rnacentral:misc_RNA from 1 species